rnacentral:lncRNA from 1 species
GAACAAGUGAUGUAAAGGGGUUGCUGGUUGGUAGGCCGGGGCUGCCAACUCUCUCAACAUACAUUCUUAAGCCCAUCUACUCUUCUUCUACCUCAAAUUUAGUGACUGAAUUAUUGACUUCAAGGAUUAUGUCUUGAUUACACAUUUUCACUAUAGCUUAGUUUUUUUCUUCAAACUUUUAGUGGUCUUUUCAAUUUUUAAAUAGUAAAGAAGUGGUUCCUAAUUAUCAAACAU